GGUGGCUCAGUGGUAGAGUGCUUGCCUUGUGUGCAUGAGUCCCUGGGUUCAAUUCCUCAGCACCA
rfam:Dipodomys ordii contig_17235, whole genome shotgun sequence.